CAGCAGGGUCCACACCAGCAGGGUCCACACCAUUUAUUAAAAAAACAAAAACAGGUUAUUUGUUCUGUACAAUUUCCCACCUUCUGGACUUUGCUGAUCGCUUCCUGUGGUAUUACUUAACUUGUUUCUCUCUCCCCUGCUUUCUAUAAACUGGUAGUUAUAUCUUCAGAUGAAGUUUCAUUAGGAUUUAACUUUUACUUUUGGGGGAGAAUACUUCAUUGUUGGUAUUGUGUACUUAUUAUUGAAUUCCAUUACAAGGCAUACAAUAUCUGAUAGCUCCACUUUUACUGAAGUUUUUUUUUUAAUAUUUUAUUGAUUUUUUACAGAGAGGAAGGGAGAGAGAUAGAGUUAGAAACAUCGAUGAGAGAGAAACAUCGAUCAGCCGCCUCCUGCACAUCUCCUAUUGGGGAUGUGCCUGCAACCCAGGUACAUGCCCUUGACUGGAAUCGAACCUGGGACCUUUCAGUCCGCAGGCCGACGCUCUAUCACUGAGCCAAACCGGUUUCGGCUUUACUGAAGUUUUAAGAAUAAGAUUUAUCCAUGAAUUCAAGUGUUAUUAAAUGAUCCUAUUCAUUUUUAAAGUUCCCUGUUAACUUUUCUCUUAAUGGAUUAUCUUCUAUUGAUAAUUGUGUACAUCCAUCAUUUAUUAGGAAUUACAAAUGGUGAUUUUUAAAAUUGUUCCUUAAUAUAGUUUAUCCAGGAAAGGCAAAAUACAUGAUUUUUUUCUAUUUGUUUACUAAUUUUCAAAGUACAUUUGGUGUCCUAGCUACCUCCAAAAUUUUAUUUCUAUCAUAAACUCAGGGUCUUUUUAUUUUUUAUUAAAAAAUCUUUUUAAAUUGAUUUAUUUAGAGAGAGAUGAUGGGGGGGGGGAGAGGAGAGAGAGAGAGAAAGAAAGAAAAAGAAAGAAACAUCCAUGAGAGAGAAUCAUGGAUCGGCUGCCUCCUGCACGCCCCCCCAGUGGGGAUCGAGCGCAACCCGGGUAUGAGCCCUGACCGGGAAUUGAACCCGGGACCCUUGAGUUCACAGGUCGAUGCUCAACCAUUGAGCCAUGCCGGCCAGGCGGAUUUUUUAUUUUUUGAAAAUAUUUUUUAAAAUUGAUUUUUAGAGAAAAAGGGACAUAGAUAGAAACAUUGAUGAGAGAGAAACAUCAUCGAUCGGCUCCCUUCUGCAUGCCCCCCAUGAGCAGAUCAAGCCCACAUAAGCCCUGACCAGGAUUCUAACUGGUUGCCUCUUGGUUCCUGGGUUGAUGCUCAACCACUGAGCAACACCAGCUGGGUGGAUUUUUUAUUUUUUUAAUCCUCACCCGAGAAUAUUUUUUUCCCAUUGAUUUUUAGAGAGAGUGGAAGCAAGGGGGAGAGACAGAAAGAAACAUUGAUGUGAGACACAUUGAUUGGUUGCCUCCUGCACACUCCUGGACCCUUGCUGAGGAUCGAGCUUGCAAAGGACGUUCGUGCCCUUGACCAGAAUAAAACUGUGACCCUUCAGUCUGAGGGCCAAUGCUCUAACCACUGGGAAACCGGCUAGGGCUAAAGGUAUCUCCUGCUCUUUGAAAGUUCAUGUUAUCUGCUUCGUUUUUAUGAAAGACCUAUAUUAUCUGUUUUUACCAAAUGAAAGAAAUCUGAAGAGGAUUUUCAUUUUUAUGAAAACGUCAAAAAGCAAAGUGUGUUCACUGUUUAUUUUGCAGCGUGCACUCCGAGCAGCAAGAGUGGCACCACCCAACUCCCUCCCCAGGACCGACACCCAGCAUCUCAGCACCAGGCACCAGAGCUUCGAACUGUGUCUGGGUUUUGCUGCAGAAAAACAAACGAAGGAUGAGAAACAGAAGAAUGGGGACCCACACUUACCUGUGCACACAGCCUCCUGAGUUUUAACUAUUCCUGGGAAAGUCAUCUUGUUGGAGCGCUUCCUUGCCGCUGUUUGGUCAGUUGGUCCAGGAAUUGGCAGGUGGGGAGCUGGCCCGCCAGUCUUGUCACUGCUCGUUCUGCUGGCCCUCUGUGACGGAAGCAGACACGGAACCCUGGCCCUUGUUGACAUCACUGAUGCACACCCACUGCCCGUCGACUGACUCCUUCCACAGGGUCACCUGCAAGCCAGCACACACACAGGUCAGCACCCCUUCCCUCUGCUCUGAUCUCACUGGAUCCCUGAAUGAUUGCCCAAAUUCCCGAAGAACCAUGGCUCACAGCCAUGUGGGAAAACAGAGGACUAAUCUUGGUUUCCUCACUGAAAUCCCAUCAAAACAGAAGAAAAAUCUACACAAAGGAGGUGACAUGAGUAGUUCCAAAUUUCACUCUCCCCUAAAAGAACUGUUCAUGGACAAGACACCACUAAGAAAGUCCUAGAACAGGGGAGGGAGUGAGGCUGACACCCCCCGCACUAGAGACCAGGCUGGACUGCAUUAGGUAAGAGGGAUGGCUACAUGCUAACUGCACCUCUCCUCCAGGCAGGGAGGAGAGCACUAGGAUGACAUCCAUCCAGCACCACAAGAGGGGCUUGCAGGUGAACCUGUGGGGUCAACCACUGGGAAUACGAUUGUGACGGAGAAGGGGCUUCCAACAACCAGCACUCAGAUCUUUGCAGACCUAGUUCCUACCUGCAGAAUCCAGCUAGACUCAGGGCACAGUCUGACCAGGGAACUUGGUGAGUGCAGAUCGCCUAAUUCAGGUCCCCAAACCAGAGUUCUGCCUACUUUUGUAAGUCACAGCCCUACCUGCUGCAGGAAGAGCCGGCAAGAACACCUCGAAUCCACAAGUCCCACCAACUGUAUAGCUGAGAGGAAGGCGGGCAGGCAGAGCUGAUUACCUCCAGAGCAAAGCCAGUGGCCCCAUUCGGCCAUGUCAUCCGUUGGGGCAUGCACUGGCUUAGGUCAAAGCCAUAAAGAACAUUAGUGGCCUUAGAGCUGCUUUUCCUGCUGAGCCCAGGAAAGAAACUAAUUUGUAACCACACUUACUGCUGAAAACAGCCUUCAGACCAGGGACCCUUCCCAGAGCACAUGCGAAGUGGUGUAUUCCAUCAAACAUCCCUGCUUCUAGGGGCACUGGAACAGAAAGCACAGACUAUGGCUGUUCCUGUCUCCAGAGCAAAACAAGUGACCUCACCUGACCACGAUAUUCAGUGCACUCUUGCCUGAUUGGGGUCCCCAAAUGAGCUCCGGGUGCUGUCCCACCAAAGCAGGGAAGCUAAUUCACAGCCCCACCUCCUGCUGAGUAGAGUACUCAGUCCUGACCAUGCAGUAAGUUUGACCAGGCAACUGUGAGGUUCAUUCUAUAGACUCAGUUGGGCAGGAAACCAAGCCAGCAAUUGUAUCUAGCUGUUCUCGGCCAAUAGCACCCCCUACCUCAGUGUUCAAACAGCUGCCUCACCCAAAGAUAUAUCCUAACAGCAAAGGGUCUAUCUUUGCUAUUAGGACCUCAUCUGUCCAAAGAUAUUACUAACAGACACGUCCAGAAAACCAAACUGAACCUGUAAAGUCUGGAAGAGGAGACCACACUCCAGUGUGCAGGUACCAAGGAUCAUGAAAAACCAGGUAAAUAUGACACCACCAAAGGAAACUAAUCAAGCUCUAGUACCUGACACUAAAGAAAUGGAGAUCUAUGAACUAUCAGAUAAAGAAUUCAGAGUAAUCCUUUUGAACUUUAGUUAAAACAAUGCAUGAAUAACACAAACUCUGGCAAAGCAACAGAAACCAUCAAAAAAUAAAAACUCAAAUCCUAGAACUUAAAAAUUCAGAAACUAAACUUAAGAAUUCCAAAGCAGCCUCAACAGUGUACAAGAAAGAACUAUGAUCUGGAAGAUAGGACAUUUGAAAGUAUUCAGUCAGAAGAACAAAAGAAUGAAGAAGAGUAUAGAAAGCCUACAGGAAUUAUGGGACCUAAUGAACCACCCCCCCAUAAAAAAACCCCACCACCAAUAUAGUAGCCCCCCAUCCAUAAGGGAUAUGUUCCAUGACUCCUCUAGUAGAUGCCUGAAACGUGGAUAGUAGUACUGAACCCUAUACAUUAUACCUACGACAAAGUUUAAUUUAUAAACAAGGCACAGUAAGAGAGAGUAACAAUAAAAUAGAACAAUUGUAAACAAUAUACUAUAAUAAAAGUUAUGUAAUAUG